rnacentral:rRNA from 1 species
UACGAAGGGGGCUAGCGUUGUUCGGAAUUACUGGGCGUAAAGCGCGCGCAGGCGGUCUUCCAAGUCAGUGGUGAAAGCCCGGAGCUCAACUCCGGAACUGCCAUUGAAACUGUUAGACUUGAGGAUGAGAGAGGUGAGUGGAAUUCCCAGUGUAGAGGUGAAAUUCGUAGAUAUUGGAAGAACACCGGUGGCGAAGGCGGCUCACUGGCUCAUACUGACGCUGAGGUGCGAAGCGUGGGAGCAAACAGG